CUACCGGGAUGAACUCAUAUUAUUGCCUGAAUAGCAUUGAAGGUUACAAUAUACGAGCUUUUUAACUCUGACCUAGG